AACGAACGCUGGCGGCAGGCUUAACACAUGCAAGUCGAGCGCCCCGCAAGGGGAGCGGCAGACGGGUGAGUAACGCGUGGGAAUCUACCCAUCUCUACGGAAUAACUCAGGGAAACUUGUGCUAAUACCGUAUACGCCCUUUGGGGGAAAGAUUUAUCGGAGAUGGAUGAGCCCGCGUUGGAUUAGCUAGUUGGUGGGGUAAUGGCCUACCAAGGCGACGAUCCAUAGCUGGUCUGAGAGGAUGAUCAGCCACACUGGGACUGAGACACGGCCCAGACUCCUACGGGAGGCAGCAGUGGGGAAUAUUGGACAAUGGGCGCAAGCCUGAUCCAGCCAUGCCGCGUGAGUGAUGAAGGCCCUAGGGUUGUAAAGCUCUUUCACCGGUGAAGAUAAUGACGGUAACCGGAGAAGAAGCCCCGGCUAACUUCGU
rnacentral:rRNA from 1 species